AAUCCAGCUGUCAAUGGCUUUGGGGUUCUUUUCUGCAUUCUCCACACUCUUCACUUUUAUCUGCUGCUAGAAACAAAAAUAUAAACCUGGAAGUACUUUGUGUUUUGUUUUUGUUUGCUUGGUUGUUUUUUUUGUUUGUUUGUUUUCAAACCCUGUGUUUGCCCCAGAUUAACCAUGUCUUCUCUUCCCUAGUUGUACUAUACCAACUGAUUUCUGCAGACAGAAGAGCAGCAGCUGGGAAACAAAACACUGAGUAAGAACAGGAAGUGACAACCCAAAGAAAAAUAUAUAUAUGUUACAGCUCCACCUGAACGAAACAGAGAUCUAAACCAAGUUAUAAUUUGUGCUGCAAUGCUACAGUCACAGAGAGACAGAAGUAAGACUAAAGUGCAACGAUUUUGCCCUAGCCAGUAGGCGUCCCCUCUCUCUCCAUGACUCACUGUGAUGUUGUGCUGUUUGGAAUUCUCCGUUAGCCAAAGAGAAAGCACUGUGGGAUCUGACUGCUUCGUUGACGGCUCAUCUAGGACCAGUAAGCCGAGGUUAUCAGACUUGCCAUCUGGACGUGGGACCUGUAGGAACGCAUCAAUGUCUCCAACAGCAGGAAUAAAGUCUGGAAUAAAGGGCUGCAGUUUGUGCUCAAUCUCUAUUGUUUUUGGAGUGUACCUGAAGG